UUAAAUUGAAGAGUUUGAUCAUGGCUCAGAUUGAACGCUGGCGGCAGGCCUAACACAUGCAAGUCGAACGGUAACAGAAAGCAGCUUGCUGCUUUGCUGACGAGUGGCGGACGGGUGAGUAAUGUCUGGGAAA
rnacentral:rRNA from 1 species